GACGAACCGUGCGAACGUUGUUCGGAAUCACUGGGCUUAAAGGGCGCGUAGGCGGGUGGUCAAGUCUGGGGUGAAAUCUUUCGGCUCAACCGGAAAAUUGCCUUGGAUACUGAUCAUCUUGAGCGAGGUAGGGGCAUGUGGAACUUCCGGUGGAGCGGUGAAAUGCGUUGAUAUCGGAAGGAACGCCGGUGGCGAAAGCGACGUGCUGGACCUCUUCUGACGCUGAGGCGCGAAAGCUAGGGGAG
rnacentral:rRNA from 1 species